CUGUGUUCAAGAAACCACUGGAAUACAAACUAUUCCUGGCUACUUAUCUGAAGGACUUCCCAAGUCAAUGCAUCCCAGAUACCUGAACAUAAAUGUUUACUACCAAGCUAUGGAAUCAACAUAGGUGUCCAUCAGCAGAAUGGCAGGAAGUUCACUUUAGAAGAAUACAGUCUGCCCUUCCCCAAACUGGCUGGAAGAAGGAACCCUUUGACCCUAGCUCCUUGCUGUACCCUGUCUCGGGUCUCUUCCCUCCCCACACUCUGCUUCCUGGAGGACCCACUUUGGCCCUGCUCCGUGUCUCUCAUAAUCUCGAGAAGUGUAAAGCCAGAACAACAAGGAAGAGAUUUGGCAAGAGAAUUCCGGUUCCAUUUCACAAAGAUGGCAUCUCUAACCCACCACGCCCAUCCGAAAAUGGCCAGUUAGUGAAGACGAUUCAGUCCUCCCGGUGAGCAUGUCCAGUUCUCUCUUCUACCAUCAGACUCUCCAGAUGCCUCGUGUCUCACCUUCUAAAACAGUGAUCCCUGGACACUGAUGUUCCUGACAGUGAAGACAAAGUUACCAGGAGCAGGAGCAGGAGCAGGUGUCUGAGAGCUGGGAAGGAAGGCCCAGGAUUCCAAAAUGCAGGAUUACAAG